rnacentral:rRNA from 1 species
GACGAACGCUGGCGGCGUGCUUAACACAUGCAAGUCGAACGGAAAGGCCCUGCUUUUGUGGGGUGCUCGAGUGGCGAACGGGUGAGUAACACGUGAGUAACCUGCCCUUGACUUUGGGAUAACUUCAGGAAACUGGGGCUAAUACCGGAUAGGAGCUCCUGCUGCAUGGUGGGGGUUGGAAAGUUUCGGCGGUUGGGGAUGGACUCGCGGCUUAUCAGCUUGUUGGUGGGGUAGUGGCUUACCAAGGCUUUGACGGGUAGCCGGCCUGAGAGGGUGACCGGCCACAUUGGGAAUUAGAUACGGCCCCGACUCCUAAGGGGGGCAGGAGUGGGGAAUAUUGCACAAUGGGCGGAAGCCUGAUGCCGCAACGCCGCGUGCGGGAUGACGGCCUACGGGUUGUAAACCGCUUUCGCCUGUGACGAAGCGUGAGUGAAGGGAAUGGGUAAAGAAGCACCGGCUAACUACGUG